UGUUGUUUUUCCGAAAAUCAAUUACGAAUGUUUUGUUUUUAAGAAGUUAUGACUUCAUCGGCUUGCUUCUUUCUUUACGAAACUUUCUUAAUGCACUUUUCGGUUAACAAGUCAACAUCAAUUUCUUUUGUUGUAAAAGGGUACGAGGAAGGUGACUUUCUUUUCGGAGAAAGUGUUUAUAGCCUUGUACCUCUGCAAUCGGAGAGAUUGAGGUCUGCAGCGUAGAUCCUUCGGGGUUAGAUACAUUUGUGCUAAGUUAUAGCUUUUCAUAGACAACUUGUUGACUAUGUUAAGUCUUGUAGCUUACUCGCUUAUGCUAUUUUACCUAC
rnacentral:rRNA from 1 species